AUUUUACCACAAAUAAACCGACACACCCCUUCUCCAUAUCUUUCUUUAUCCUCAUCCAUUACCCUUACUCCUUCAUUUUCAAACACAAAAACAAAAUCAGCUACCUUACUCCUUUCUCCCUCACUCACGGCUGACCCACGAACACCACCAUCAACCGGCAGCCCAGCCACGAGCUCCACCACCAACAGCAACCACUUCUCCUCCUUCCUUUAUUGUUGUUCAUCAAGAUUGAAAGUUGAAGGGUCCUCCAAUGGUGAUUGAGGGUCUAUCUCUUACAGGGGGUGGAUCCACUUUCAGGUUGCCAUCUUUAGUGCAGAUGGAUGUGCUGCUCAUUUAUGUGUCAUGUGUUGCGAUAGCGAGGACAUCGUUUUCGAAAGGUUAACUUAUAAUGAUAUUUUGACAAAUCAUGUCUUUGUAUAAAA